GACUCCGUAGCUCAGUUGGCAGAGCAAUUGACUCUUAAUCAAUGGGUCGAGGGUUCGAGCCCCUCCGGGGUCA
rnacentral:tRNA from 1 species